GUCCACGCCCUAACGAUGGAUACUCGACAUACGCGAUAUACUGUGUGUGUCUGAGCGAAAGCAUUAAGUAUCCCACCUGGGAAGUACGACCGCAAGGUUGAACUCAAAGGAAUUGGCGGGGUCCGCACAAGCGGUGGAGCAUGUGGUUUAAUUCGAUGAUACGCGAGGAACCUUACCUGGGCUAGAAUGCUGGUGGAUCGUGGGUGAAAGCUCAUUUUGUAGCAAUACACCGCCAGUAAGGUGCUGCAUGGCUGUCGU
rnacentral:rRNA from 1 species